UAAGGAAUAUUGGUCAAUGGACGCAAGUCUGAACCAGCCAUGCCGCGUGAAGGAUGAAGGUCCUCUGGAUUGUAAACUUCUUUUAUCUGGGACGAAAACGGGAUUUUUAUCUCAAUUGACGGUACCAGAGGAAUAAGCACCGGCUAACUCCGUGCCAGCAGCCGCGGUAAUACGGAGGGUGCGAGCGUUAUCCGGCUUUAUUGGGUUUAAAGGGUGCGCAGGCGGGAUUUUAAGUCAGCGGUGAAAUUUUCAGGCUCAACCUGAACACUGCCGUUGAAACUGGGAUUCUUGAGUAUGAAUGAAGUAGGCGGAAUUCGUUGUGUAGCGGUGACAUGCUUAGAUAUAACGAGGAACUCCGAUUGCGUAGGCAGCUUACUAAGCCAUAACUGACGCUCAAGCACGAAAGCGUGGGGAUCAAACA
rnacentral:rRNA from 1 species